CCUACGGGAGGCAGCAGUCGAGAAUCAUUCACAAUGGGGGCAACCCUGAUGGUGCGACGCCGCGUGGGGGAAUGAAGGUCUUCGGAUUGUAAACCCCUGUCAUGUGGGAGCAAAUUAAAAAGAUAGUACCACAAGAGGAAGAGACGGCUAACUCUGUGCCAGCAGCCGCGGUAAUACAGAGGUCUCAAGCGUUGUUCGGAAUCACUGGGCGUAAAGCGUGCGUAGGCUGUUUCGUAAGUCGUGUGUGAAAGGCGCGGGCUCAACCCGCGGACGGCACAUGAUACUGCGAGACUAGAGUAAGGUAGGGGGAACCGGAAUUCGCGGUGUAGCAGUGAAAUGCGUAGAUAGCGAGAGGAACACUCGUGGCGAAGGCGGGUUCCUGGACAGUAACUGACGCUGAGGCACGAAGGCCAGGGGAGCGAAAGGGAUUAGAUACCCGAGUAGUC
rnacentral:rRNA from 1 species